AUGGCACUGUCUGGAAUGAUAACAUUUGGGUUGUGUGUAGUCUUAAUUGAUUGUUUAAAUGGACAAAUUACGCACCCUGAUCCUGUGGUAUUUAAGGCAAGUGGUAGAGCAGCUCGAGUCCAAUGCAAAGUGGAUUCAUCGACACUUCGGUCCAGCGUUAUCCACUGGUACAGAGCUCCACCGAAGGGAGCUCUCCAACGUUUAAUGUAUUUCGAAGCUGGUUCGCCAAAGGCCACAAAAGACCCCGAUACCCCCCGUAGAUUUUCUGGAUCGGUGAGCGGCGAUGUAGUGGCACUGACUAUCUCAAAGCUGGAGCCCAGUGAUGAGGGAUCGUAUUACUGCGCGCUCUGGAGUGGAGACAACACAGUGCUAACUAUGAGAGGAAAUCAUUACAAAAACCUGCUUUCAUCAUCAAAGCGCUUUAUUUUGACUAGCAGCAAGGAGGAGACAUUAGACAUAUUUUUACUAGUGAUGUUGCUCUUUUCUUGUCAAGAUUUUAAUUAAAGAAUAAGGUUAAAUGUUCCAAAAGUGUAUUCAGCUCGAGUCCAAUGCAAAGUGGAUUCAUCGACACUUCGGUCCAGCGUUAUCCACUGGUACAGAGCUCCACCGAAGGGAGCUCUCCAACGUUUAAUGUAUUUCGAAGCUGGUUCGCCAAAGGCCACAAAAGACCCCGAUACCCCCCGUAGAUUUUCUGGAUCGGUGAGCGGCGAUGUAGUGGCACUGACUAUCUCAAAGCUGGAGCCCAGUGAUGAGGGAUCGUAUUACUGCGCGCUCUGGAGUGGAGACAACACAGUGCUAACUAUGAGAGGAAAUCAUUACAAAAACCUGCUUUCAUCAUCAAAGCGCUUUUAUUUGAACAGCAGCAAGGAGGAGACAUU
rnacentral:lncRNA from 1 species